CGCUUCUAAAUUUUACUCAAGAAGUGCUCCACCAGUUGCAGAAAAAGAAGUUACUGAGAGCCGAUCUCCAGCCAAGUCCUUCUCUAUUCCUCUCCCUUAAAGCCCAUCAGCUCUGUUCCCGCAGGCGUUUCUUCGAGACCCGCGCAGGAGAGGGGCCAAGCACAUCCAAGGUGAUGGAAACUGCCAUUUAAAAAAAUGGAUGGAAUUUUAAAAAUGAUUGUGAUGUCAAAGAUGAACUAUAUCCCUGACUUUUGGGGAUCUGCGAUGCGUCCCAAUUAUUUUUCGACUGCGUUCGAAGCCACCAAUGAACGCCCGCAUCUUGGCUCCAACAUCUUUAGGUUUGACCUUCUACAUCUCUUGUUUAUUUAUGGAUUA